AUACAACAGAAAAGACACCAAAACAUACAGAAAACAAAAUGUGGUUGGAGAAAAAUUUCAAAAUCUCUCUCUCUCUCAAAAAAAAAAAAAGCCUGAGGUGUCUUCAGGCUUUAUCAAGUUGACUGUCAGAUGGACACAGGUGCGCAUCGUCAAGCAAUCAAGCCCCAAUCAGCUCCACCUACAGGAUUAAGAUGCGCGCAGACUCCACAGACCAAGGGAAUGGAACAGUCAUCGUUUUCAGUAUAAAUUGUUAUCUGGCAGAUGGCCUUUUGUUCCGUUUCGAGAGCACUUUUUUUUAGUUACACGAAGAUAAGCACAGGUGAGCUAGUGUCCCAUAAGACUCACUCCCCUUGGCUUUUCCCCAUUCAGUAAGCAGGUAAGAAGGUCAGGCCUGCAGGUGAGUGAAGGGGCUGCUGGGCGUGCUCCGUCCAGCCGGGGCAAAUGUUUUAGCCACUUUUCAUUCUUUUUCUUGUCAUGUAAAUUCAGUUUUCUUACUGUUUAUUAAAAUACUGGAUUUCGGACUUUGUAUGUUGCUUCUCUUUGUGUUUGGUUCGAGCGUUUAUUAUAAACGAGCCGGACCAAGCGAGACGUAACACUGCAUUUGCUUAAACUGGAAGGUUUCUUAAUUUCACUUUAAUUCAGUGAGGCCUUGGAACGAAAACCAGGACGUUUGAUGAGAACUGAACUGCAGGAACUAUUAAGGAUGAGCCCUUUCCUGAACCUGGUUUUACUUCGGACUUAGAUGGUCUAACGGA